rnacentral:rRNA from 1 species
UAUAAACUUUAUAAAAAUUAAAUAAUAUUAGAAUUUAUUUAUUAAUUAAAAAAAAUUAAUUGAUUUUAAAAGACAAUAAGACCCUUUAGAAUUUUAUAUUUAUAUAAAUUAUUUUAUAAUAUUUUUAUAAAAAUUAGUUUAUAAAAAUAUUAUGAUGGGGCAUUAACAAAAUUUAAUAAAAUUUUGUUAGAUUUUAUUAAACAAUUUAAUAAUUGAAUUGAAUUUAUAUAGUUGAUCUUAAUAAGUAAAUUAUAAGAAAAAAUUACCUAAGGGAUAACAGCGUAAUUAUUUUGGAUAGUUCAUAUUGAUAAAAUAGUUUGCGACCUCGAUGUUGAAUUAAGAUUAAUAAUAAGUGGAGAUAUUUAUGAAUUAAGUCUGUUCGACUUUUUAAAUCUUACAUGAUUUGAGUUAAGAUCGGUGUAAGCCAGAUCGGUUUUUAUCUUUAAAAUUUUAAAUAUUUAUUUGUACGAAAGGACUAUAAAUUGUUUAAUAUAUUUAAAUAUAUUUAAUGAAUUGAAUUAAUUAUUUUAAUAUAUUUAUAUAAU